rnacentral:tRNA from 1 species
GAGAGAGGCUUGCCAGCAACGAAGGCUGCUACCCUCCAUCCCCUCGGUUGAAUUCCGGGGCUCCCUCA